GACGUAGGGCGCGAGCGUUGUCCGGAUUUAUUGGGCGUAAAGAGCUCGUAGGCGGCUUGUCGCGUCGGCUGUGAAAGCCCGUGGCUUAACUACGGGUCUGCGGUGGAUACGGGCAGGCUAGAGGCUGGUAGGGGCAAGCGGAAUUCCUGGUGUAGCGGUGAAAUGCGCAGAUAUCAGGAAGAACACCGGUGGCGAAGGCGGCUCUCUGGACCGACACUGACGCUGAGGCGCGAAAGCGUGGGGAGCAAACAGG
rnacentral:rRNA from 1 species